AUCUCUUUCCUCUCUCUUCCAGAACAUCAGGGCAGACGUGUGCCAACGCUCACUCAUCCCGCAGCCACGCGGUGUUCCAGAUCAUUCUUCGGAGGAAGGGAAAGAUGCAUGGGAAGUUCUCGGUCAUCGACCUUGCAGGAAAUGAGAGGGGGGCCGAUACGUCGACUGCCGACCGCCAGACUCUGUCAGGGUCCUCUCCUCAUCCCAUCCCCACCUGACAUCCCUAAAAACCCUUUUCCCUACCUUUCUCCUCUGUCUCUCUGUUCCUCUGUCUCUGUGUCUCCCUUUCAGUCUCCCAUCCGCUCCUCUACCUCUGUCUUCCCCUGCAGUGUGGCACCUGAGUGGAGUUGAGCUUCUCAGCUGACUCCACUCAGGUAAUCAGCCACAUCCAUGGAUCCCGGGCAGCUGGAAGACAUCUCGUUGAUUACCACCUCAGCAAUAAGAACCGGCUCAUCAUUCCACUCCCUGUCAGAUUGUUAAACUAGACACACAGACCAGCUGUCCAGGCUCCUUGCCCCUGCCCCGACCAGCCCAUUCUGUUCCGAACCUGCUCUGCCUUCCCUGCCUUGACCCCCUUCUCCGAUUCUCCUGGUGCCCCCCGGACCCCACCGAACCGUUACUGGACCCCGCCACGGAACCCCCGGACCAGCACCGCCGCCAGGGAUCCGCACCAAACAUCUGCCACCACACUCUGCUCCCCACCGGAGCCGCCACGGCCGCCGAUCCCCGGCUUUACUCCCUCCCUGCUGCCAGAACUCUCUAUCCAUCUCCACUGCUUCCCGGACCAUCUCCACCCCUUACAAUAAACCUGUUUUACACCCAAUUCCGCCUUGGUAGCGUGGUCCUCCGCACGGGUCCAGAUCCACCUCACAUGACAGACUGUCUGGAAGGAGCUGAGAUCAACAAAAGCCUGUUGGCCCUGAAGCUCUGUGGAAGGCAGCAGUGUUGUCCACAGUGUUUUCUGCCACUUGUUUGUUCGUGAAAAGACAAAAUACACAUUUAUUUCAUUCUUUUUAUUUACUAUAUCCUGUCUUUCCCUCUCUUCUUGUUUCAGGAGUGUAUCAGAGCUCUUGGUCGUAACAAACCACACGCUCCAUUCAGAGCCAGUAAGCUCACCCAGGUCCUGAGAGACUCCUUCAUUGGGGAAAAUUCACGCACAUGCACGAUUGCAACGAUCUCUCCUGGCAUGACGUCCUGUGCGAGCACAGUCAACACUCUACGCUUUGCCAACAGGUGGGAAUAUGUUGAGCCACUACAGUAAUGUGCACAAUGCCUUGUUUCUACAGGAAACAAAGGAAAUGAUUCCCUCUGGUGAAAU